CUUCAUUCAGCUGAGCGCUGCAAGGAUGAAUGGCUGGGGUUUGUUUAAACGAUCUUAUGUUUAAUAUGUUUUCUGCUCACAAAUGUUGUAAGUGUCUUGUAUGUGUAACUCCUGUUUGUUGCUCCCUGGUGUUCUGAGUCGCGUGCAUGCAGUGAAAGCGCACAUCCAUCCGGAUGAAGCUGCACAAACACAUCUGAUGAGACAUAAACGCUCAUUUAACGCAGUGAUCAUUUUUUUCCCGAGCCAUUCAGUGCGGUUUAUAUAACCAUGCCUGGGUUCGGCGUCAUGAAACCAUCACUUGUUCGUGAAAUCACGCCAUAUAUUUGUGUAGCAGAGUGAAGUCCUGGAAUGCUCGAGUGCGGGGGUGUCUGUCUGUCCCCUUCACUGCAGUCACACAUCUGACCAGCAUAUACAUGCCUCACACGGCAAACAACACUCAGGAUGAGAAAUAAAUGGCUCUGGAAAUGUUAUUUGACUUGUUUACAGGGGGUGGAAGAUGGAAACGUUGGAAAAAUGGAGCAGAGACAUCAUGGCACCUCAUCAGCUGGAUAAGAAAGCGCAGUCCAAACAAAAUGGCAUGAUUGCAAAGAAUCUGCUCAACUCUCUCAAGAUUCGCAAUCAUUUGCAGCUCCAGCCAAUUUCUCGUUCAGCAUGUGCCACUGGCUCUUGUCCAGAUCUGAUGAGUAGGAACGAGCAGCCUGACUCCCGGCCGCUUGCCGUGGCCCUGACGCCCCAGCUACCCCCCAGGACCCAUCGGCCCCUGUGUCUCUCAGUGUCCUCUGACAGCAAUGGACGCUUCAAAGCUCUGGAGACCCAGGAAUGGAAGAACAACCUCAAAGCUCAGGUAGCUGCUCGUAGCUUGUUGGAGGUUCAGUUUGAGUUACCCGUCUUAAUGUGUGUUUUUAUCCGUCAGAUGGAGCAGGCCCAUAGUGCUGGAGCAGCCAGCAGCACAGGUUCCCUGGAAAGAGCAUCUCUCUUUUGCGCUUCUGGCUCCACCACCACCUCCAGCUCUGGCCUCUCCAGUCCGGUGGAGCACCUCACCAAGAGCAAGUCCUCUAGUCGCUUUUCACUCUUCUCCCCACCUUGGAACAGCAGCUCUGAGUCUGACUCCAAUCCACCUUCCCGCUCCGGAUCUAAGAAAAUGCGCAACUACAGUCGCAGAACUGGUCCUGGCAGUGCCAAAACAGGCCCAGAGACUCCAGAACCCAAGCAGAGCGUCCCUGAGCACUUCCAGUACUCAGAACCGGUCAUAUCGAAGGUAACAGACUACAUUUAUGUGGGAAACCUGAACGCGGCUUAUAGCGGACGCACGUUGUGCCGCAAUAAUAUCGACAGUAUUAUCGACAUGAGCAGCCUGCCCGGGGAGACUUGUUUGAGAGUCAUUCCUUGCACUUGUUCAAGGGGUGUCAAGCAUAGUUGGUCUCGGCUCAAAGUGGACAUAAGCGACCUUCCGGACACAGUCCAAGAAGGGCUGGCACUCAAGCAUCGCUGCUUCGAUGACAUCAAUGAGUGUAUUGAUGCCUCCACGGAGAAGAGGAAGCGAGUGCUGGUGCAUUGUCGUGAUGGUUUUUCCCUCGCACCCACUUGCAUUAUUCAGUACCUCAUGGUCAAACAAAAUAUGAGGCUUAUUGCCGCCUACGAGCUGCUCAGAGCCAAACACCCGGUCAACAUUCGUGAAUCCCAUCAGAACGUUCUGGUAAGUCUCGAAAGAGCUCUGAGACCGGGUGGGAACACGGACCCUGAGUGCUUUAAACAGGCAAUCUCUCGAAAAGUGGCUUGGACCUGAUAGCGAACCUUGAGGAACCUCACUUUUAUUUGAGCGUUUUGUAGUUUGUACAUUUUUUUUUUUUUUUUAUAUUAUUUCCUUUGUUAACAGUGAAAGGCAGUUUUUUUUGUGUUUUAACUGAGCUGGAUGUCAUGGUGUGAGUACUAACUGUGAAAAUUUACUUUAAGUUGUUCACUGGCCAUUUUAGCAAAACAAACCCUAAGAAUUUGAGUCAUUCGUUUUGCUUCUGGCUAAACAAAACAAGAACAAACAUGCUUUGUACAGCUGCUAAACAAUGAGUUUUGUCUGGGAAUAUAUCUCCUGUUUUUUCUUCUUCACGUGGGUACAUAGCCAUGCUGUGCAGGUUUAUGCUGAGGAAGAAGUUAGUGGGAGCUCUCAGGAGAUGAAACAAUGUCAUAUAUGGCUGCAAACACCACUACUGAGGCUGAAACGUCAAACUGGAGUACUAUAGCAACUAAACAUCUCAAACACUCUGAGGACAAAUUGAGGACUAAACAUGAUUAAUCACUGAAUCUGGCAGUACAUAGCACAACCUUUGUUGGCCUCCUUAUUCAUUUGACAGUUGUUUGAUAUUUCUCUGUGUUUAACCAGGGUUUGAAAGAUGCACAGUAAGAGUAGUCCUCUAUGAGGAGACAUUUCAUUUACUAGGUUAAGUGUCUUUUAUUAAAUGUGUAAUAUUCAACAUGUUUGAUCAAAUAAUUCAGUGCUUGGAAACAAUGUGAAUUUUGUGAUCUUGUAAAGCAUUGAAAUUGGCCCACUUUAUAACUUUUAUGGAGUGUUGGUAUUUGGAAAAUGAAUUAAACAGAGUUGUGGAGCAAUGCUCAAUUGCAAAGGCUUGAUAUUGCACUAACCACAAGGAAAUGCACAAGUUUUGCUGAAACGUGGCUUAGUUUGAUUUAAUGUUGCGCAGUGAAUAUAGAUCAAAAUAUUUUUAUUACGAUAAUGUUUAUGCUUAUCUAUUAUGAUUGUUGUUCCAUGGUUUCUAUUGUAUUUUGAUUUAGCCAUUUAGAAAAAUGUAACAACCCUGACAGCAAAUGUAUGUCACUGAGACAUCUUGAAUGCGUGCAUUUUCAUUUAAGAGCAUUAGCUAGUUUACAGUAUGUACACCUAGUUUGUAAUAAAAGUGACCAAUGCAACAAAGAUAGAUAGCUGUCAUUAUAAUCAAUGGAUAUAUUGUUGAUUAUAAUGUGAUCAAUCUAGUUUUGUCACUUUGCAACACGUUGUUUGCUUUUAGUGUAGAUUGGAAUGUUUUCUGCAACAUUUAUGUUUUCAAGUUUAUAGUAAUCUGCUGUUGUUCUGACGUCCGCACACAAAUAUAAUGUGUCUUGGUGACGUACAUGUGCUUAAGGGGAAAUAUAUUUAACAUGGCUUAUACUUAUCAGCAGUGAUUCUUCUGUUUUGAUAUUUAGUGCUCAGUUUGGUGAAGAAAGACCCUCCUAAGUUUUGGUGCCUUUCGUUUGAACUCGUCCAGUGUGAUUAUUGUGACAUUCACACGCGCACACUGUAUGCACUCAUCAGGUAUAGACAAAAUGUCGUCCUUAUGCUUUGACAUGUUCAGGAAAUGCUCCAUGUUGGUGUAAUUUUGUGAUGUAUGGCAGAGAUCAGUUUCAUCUGAGGUUUCAUAGCAGUGCUCACAGUGAACAGUGCCUGUAUUUCAAUUAGUGUGGUGGUGACGUCAAUCAGUGUGAUCAUUACCUUCUUCUACGGGCCUGCAAUUAGCUUCUGACAUUAGGAAAGCUGUAUUUAGAUUCAAAUAGAACAUUUAUUGUUGGUUUAUUCUUAUUCAUUAGCCUAUUUAAAUCUAUAUUUUUGGAUGGUUGAUCUUGCCCUGUAAAGGUCUAACAACAUGAACUCUCAGGUUAAAUUUAUUGGCCUAGAAAACAUUCUCAAUGCGUUAGAAACCAGAAUAAUGUGAGGCAAUGUAUUUUCUGUAUAACGUUUUUGCAGAAACUGCAUUUGUACAUGUUGAUAUUAAAGAGAAUCUGAUGCACUGACUUUCUUGUCAUGUAUGAUUUGUUCCAAUAGCAAAUGUGCUUUGUGAAUCUUGGAAAAAAUAUUUUAGCAAUUUUAGCAAGAGGCUACGUAAG
ensembl:lncRNA